rnacentral:rRNA from 1 species
AUUGAACGCUGGCGGCAUGCUUUACACAUGCAAGUCGAACGGUAACAGGCCGCAAGGUGCUGACGAGUGGCGAACGGGUGAGUAAUGCAUCGGAACGUGCCCAGUCGUGGGGGAUAACGCAGCGAAAGCUGCGCUAAUACCGCAUACGAUCUAUGGAUGAAAGCGGGGGACCGUAAGGCCUCGCGCGAUUGGAGCGGCCGAUGUCAGAUUAGGUAGUUGGUGGGGUAAAGGCUCACCAAGCCAACGAUCUGUAGCUGGUCUGAGAGGACGACCAGCCACACUGGGACUGAGACACGGCCCAGACUCCUACGGGAGGCAGCAGUGGGGAAUUUUGGACAAUGGGCGCAAGCCUGAUCCAGCAAUGCCGCGUGCAGGAAGAAGGCCUUCGGGUUGUAAACUGCUUUUGUACGGAACGAAACGGCUCUCACUAAUACUGGGGGCUAAUGACGGUACCGUAAGAAUAAGCACCGGCUAACUACGUGCCAGCCGCCGCCGUAAAAC